rnacentral:SRP_RNA from 1 species
GCUGGGCGUUGUGGCGGGCGUCUGUAGUCCUAGCUAAUCGGGAGUCUGAGGCAGGAGAAUGGCAUGAACCCGGGAGGCGGAGCUUGCAGUGAGCCGAGAUGGCGCCACUGCACUCCAGCCUGGGCGACAGAGUGAGACUCAGUCUCAAAAAAAAAAAAACAAAAAAACCACACAAACGUUUUUUAUUUUUGUUUUUUGAAACAGAGUUUCACUUUGUUGCCCAGGCUGGAGUGCAGUGGUGUGAUCUCGGCUCACUGCAGCCUCCCCCUCCCGGGUUCAAGUGAUUCUCCUGCCUU